GACGAACGCUGGCGGCGUGCUUAACACAUGCAAGUCGAACGGAAAGGCCCUGCUUUUGUUGGGUGCUCGAGUGGCGAACGGGUGAGUAACACGUGAGUAACCUGCCCUUGACUUUGGGAUAACUUCAGGAAACUGGGGCUAAUACCGGAUAGGAGCUCCUGCUGCAUGGUGGGGGUUGGAAAGUUUCGGCGGUUGGGGAUGGACUCGCGGCUUAUCAGCUUGUUGGUGGGGUAGUGGCUUACCAAGGCUUUGACGGGUAGCCGGCCUGAGAGGGUGACCGGCCACAUUGGGACUGAGAGACGGACCAGACUCCUACGGGAGGCAGCAGUGGGGAGUAUUGCACAAUGGGCGGAAGCCUGAUGCAGCAACGCCGCGUGCGGGAUGACGGCCUUCGGGUUGUAAACCGCUUUCGCCUGUGACGAAGCGUGAGUGACGGUAAUGGGUAAAGAAGCACCGGCUAACUACGUG
rnacentral:rRNA from 1 species